GACGAACGCUGGCGGCAUGCCUCAUACAUGCAAGUCGAGCGAACAGAUGAAGUGCUUGCACUUCUGACGUUAGCGGCGAACGGGUGAGUAACACGUAAGGAAUCUACCUAUAAGCGGGGGAUAACAUUCGGAAACGGGUGCUAAUACCGCAUAAUACCUUCUUCCGCAUGGAAGAAGAUUGAAAGACGGCUCUGCUGUCACUUAUAGAUGACCUUGCGGUGCAUUAGUAAGUUGGUGGGGUAACGGCCUACCAAGACGAUGAUGCAUAGCCGACCUGCGAGGGGGAUCGGCGACAUUGGGACUGAGACACGGCACAAACUCCUACGGGAGGCAGCAGUAGGGAAUCUUCCGCAAUAGGCGAAAGCCUGACGGAGCAAUGCCUCGUGAGUGAAGAAGGCCUUCGGGUCGUAAAACUCUGUUAUAAGAGAAGAACAAAUUGUAGAGUAACUGCUACAGUCUUGACGGUAUCUUAUCAGAAAGCCACGGCUAACUACGUGCCAGCAGCCGCCGUAA
rnacentral:rRNA from 1 species